UCCCAGGUGUCUCAGAUGGUAAAGAAACUGCCUGCAAUGCAGGACACUCAGGUUCAAUCCCUGGGUUGGGAA
rfam:TPA: Bos taurus chromosome 1, whole genome shotgun sequence.